rnacentral:rRNA from 1 species
UGGGGAAUAUUGCACAAUGGGCGCAAGCCUGAUGCAGCCAUGCCGCGUGUAUGAAGAAGGCCUUCGGGUUGUAAAGUACUUUCAGUCGGGAGGAAGGUGGUAAGGUUAAUAACCUUAUCAAUUGACGUUACCGCCAGAAGAAGCACCGGCUAACUCCGUGCCAGCAGCCGCGGUAAUACGGAGGGUGCAAGCGUUAAUCGGAAUUACUGGGCGUAAAGCGCACGCAGGCGGUUGAUUGAGUCAGAUGUGAAAUCCCCGGGCUUAACCCGGGAAUUGCAUCUGAUACUGGACAGCUAGAGUCUUGUAGAGGGGGGUAGAAUUCCAUGUGUAGCGGUGAAAUGCGUAGAGAUGUGGAGGAAUACCGGUGGCGAAGGCGGACCCCUGGACAAAGACUGACGCUCAGGUGCGAAAGCGUGGGGAGCAAACAGG